UUAAACAGGCGUCUACAGAGUUAGGGGCUUUUUGAGAGCCGAGCCACACCAGUGGAGCCUGCUGGAGGGCAGCUUUUACAUGCAGCCUUUGCAGGAAACGGGCAUGUCGCGCCAACAUGCAGAGGCAGUUAAACAUUAUGUGAGGACAUUUAAGGGAGCACCUCCUUGCACCCUCCCCCCACGCUGCAGAGUCAGGCUCCUGAGAACGCACAGUGGGGGAUCAUGCGAAGCACCGGGCUACUGGCUUGGCUUGCAAAAGCACAUUCAAAGGAAUUCUUUUCACAUUUGUGGAGAAACUAUCAAACGGAUGGCUUGUGCGGAUAGCUGGGUUGCACAAAUCCACCAGAACUUCGACAUUGGGCUCCUAGGACUUCCUGUCAAAUGAGCAAAAACUUGGAGAGGACUGUGUCACAGCUUGAGGGACGCAGCACCAAAACCUUGCUUAAAAGUAGAGUAGGUCUAUCUCGGCCUUCAAUAAGACAUUUAGUUCCUGCAGAGAUGUGCUCCUGGAGCCUGGUGCUCCUGAGGGGUGCAGGGGGUCACUGCAGAAGGCCCUCAAUCCUGGCCACCCCUUUUCGGGCUUGGGAGGAGAGGAGGCCAGCCACAUGUCGUGGCUCUUCUUCAUCCCGCCUCGUAGCCGCGAGUGACCCUGCUCUGAACCACCAAGACUCGGAUGUUCCUCCUAGCGAGUGUGUGUCCCGCGGAAGCAAAGUGCUGUCUGCCUGCAUGGCCCGCCUUCCCCCUGGCGCCCCACCAACAGAAAGCGCAUGUCUGCGUUUUAUAUUCCUGUAAACUCCAGCCUGGCCCCAGGCCAGAGACCUCUUUGUAAUGUCAAAGAUAAAAGCUUCGGCACCCUGCCCCCACCUCCAUUUCCUUGUAACCGGCUUAUAAACUGAGCAUGCAUGACUGUUAGCAGAGCUUUGCAGACAGAGGUCUGAUGGCGCUCCAGAAACGUCCCCAGAGGGUGAGCGGAGGAAUCCCCAUGGCACCAGGAAGAGAGAGGCUGGAGAGGGGCGAGUGAUCUCCCACAGGACCUGCUGGGAACUGUGGGAGAUCUGAAGUAUGGACUCAAAUGCAUCCUCAGAACAUUCUAGCCCCCAAAGAAUGUGCCCACUGAGCCAGGGUCCUGGGUAUCUUUCCCUAGAACCUGGCAUGCUGACAGCAUCGAAUCUUUUUGGCUCCAAACAGUAUGGAUAUAAAUUAUGUUGCUGUAAUAGAAGGUCCUUAUCAAACUUUGGAUGUCCUAAAAUGGCAUUUGGGGUACACAAGAUGCUGUGGUUUUCUUCUCAUCCCAGCAUGCCCUGUGCCAUGGGUGCUGUGACGUCACCUAAGGAAACUUGUAAGAUCUUACUUUUUGGAUUUUUUUUUUAAAAUUUCUUUUUGGGUCAUACUUGUAGUGUGUCUAAAUUAUAUGGCCCCAGACAUUACAGUUUUAUUAUCCAUUUAGCAUUCUGGAUGACUUUGAAAGUAAAAACUUGAUGUUAUUAAAUGUUCAUAA